rnacentral:snoRNA from 1 species
AAGACUAUACUUCACGGGAUCAUUUCUGUAGUAUGUCUUCAUUAUCUUUCGAAACAAUUCGAAAGAGUAUGCAUCUGCGAUGACGAGAAUAUCGUUCAUUCUGUAGCGUGAGGUGUGACUUUUGCCUUUUUGCGACAUUGUCCCCCCC